rnacentral:rRNA from 1 species
UCGUCAGCUCGUGUCGUGAGAUGUUGGGUUAAGUCCCGCAACGAGCGCAACCCUUGUUAUUAGUUGCCAGCAUUAAGUUGGGCACUCUAAUGAGACUGCCGGUGACAAACCGGAGGAAGGUGGGGAUGACGUCAAGUCAUCAUGCCCCUUAUGACCUGGGCUACACACGUGCUACAAUGGGCAGUACAACGAGAAGCAAGCCUGCGAAGGCAAGCGAAUCUCUGAAAGCUGUUCUCAGUUCGGACUGCAGUCUGCAACUCGACUGCACGAAGCUGGAAUCGCUAGUAAUCGCGGAUCAGCACGCCGCGGUGAAUACGUUCCCGGGCCUUGUACACACCGCCCGUCACCCCAUGGGAGUCUGCAAUGCCCAAAGCCGGUGGCCUAACCUUCGGGAAGGAGCCGUCUAAGGCAGGGCAGAUGACUGGGGUGAAGUCGUAACAAGGUAACCGUA